rnacentral:rRNA from 1 species
AUUGAACGCUGGCGGCAGGCUUAACACAUGCAAGUCGAGCGGAGACUUCGGUCUUAGCGGCGAACGGGUGAGUAAUACCUAGGAAUCUGCCUAUUAGUGGGGGAUAACGAAUCGAAAGGUUCGCUAAUACCGCAUACGUCCUACGGGAGAAAGGGGGGGAUCUUCGGACCUCUCGCUAAUAGAUGAGCCUAGGCCGGAUUAGCUAGUUGGUAGGGUAAAGGCCUACCAAGGCGACGAUCUGUAGCUGGUCUGAGAGGAUGGCCAGCCACACUGGAACUGAGACACGGUCCAGACUCCUACGGGAGGCAGCAGUGGGGAAUAUUGGACAAUGGGGGCAACCCUGAUCCAGCCAUUCCGCGUGAGUGAAGAAGGCCUCGGGUUGU